rnacentral:rRNA from 1 species
AGCAAAUAGAUACCCUGGUAGUCCACGCCGUAAACGAUGGAUACUAGCUGUUCGGAGCAAAUCUGAGUGGCUAAAGCGAAAGUGAUAAGUAUCCCACCUGGGGAGUACGCACGCAAGUGUGAAACUCAAAGGAAUUGACGGGGCCCGCACAAGCGGUGGAGCAUGUGGUUUAAUUCGAUGAUACGCGAGGAACCUUACCAGGGCUUAAAUGUAGAUUGACAGGACUGGAAACAGUUUUUCUUCGGACAAUUUACAAGGUGCUGCAUGGUUGUCGUCAGCUCGUGCCGUGAGGUGUCAGGUUACGUCCUAUAACGAGCGCAACCCCUGUCGUUAGUUGCCAGCGAGUCAUGUCGGGAACUCUAACGAGACUGCCAGUGUAAACUGUGAGGAAGGUGGGGAUGACGUCAAAUCAUCACGGCCUUACGUCCUGGGCACACACGUGCUACAAUGGUAGGUACAGAGAGCAGCCACUGCGCGAGCAGGAGCGAAUCUACAAAACCUAUCUCAGUUCGGAUCGGA